rnacentral:lncRNA from 1 species
UUUUUUUAAAAAAAGGAAGUCAUUUCUGUUAAAGAAGAAUUGAUUUAGUUGGGCACUUUAAGAACUUAGUUUCUGUGCUUUAUACAGGUGACACUAACUCUGCGCGCCAUUUCAAGGGUUGUGCAUCUGGUGGUACCAGUAACAUCAAAGGGUGAUUAAUAAUCCAAUAUUAUUAAUGAAUACAUGGAUAUUGGUAUUAGAGGUCAAAU